CUAUGGUGAGGUUGAAGAAGGUAGAUGGCAUAU
rnacentral:tRNA from 1 species